CUGGGCUCUGAUUGGUGGGUUUUGUCUGCUGACAGGAAGACCUUCAAUGGAACGGUGAGUCGCUUCAUGACGGGUUCUGGGAAGAGGAUGGUGGCGUACUACAAAAAUGACGGCAGCCUGGUCCACAUCGCUCCAGAACCUGAGGAGGAGGAGGAGCCUCUGUUCCGGGCGAUUCGUGAAGGCAACGCCAACAAGGUGAGAUCCCUGGCCAUGUGUCCGGGAACCAACCUGAUGCUGCCCACUAAGCCGGGCUGGCUGGCUGUCCACCAGGCCGCCUGGUUCGGACAGGACUCCUGUCUGCGAAUGCUGCUGUCAGCUCAACCAGGAAUGGUCAACAAGAGGACGUCACGUGGCGAGACGCCGCUGCUGGUCGCCAUCAGCAGAGUCCAACUAGGAUGCGUUCAAGUGCUGCUGGAAAACGGAGCCGACCCAGAAAUCCCGAACUAUGAGAAAGAGACUCCGCUGUACAAAGCCUGUGAGCGGAGCAGCGCGGCCAUUGUAGCGGCGCUGCUGAACCACGGCGUGGCCGUGAACACGCGGUGCAUUCAGGGCUGGACCGCCCUGCAGGAAACCGUGGUCCGCAGCAACCUGGAGAUCUGCGACAUGCUGCUGAAGGCCGGCGCCAAGCUGAACCUGCGGAACAUGUACGGCAUCACGCCGCUGUUCACCGCCGCUCAGAACGGCCAGAUGGCCGCGCUGCGCUUCCUCAUCAAACACGGCGCAGACGUGAACACUCAGGCUGACGAUGGAGCCACGGCGCUGUAUGAAGCCGCUAAGAUGGGACACCAGGAAGUGGUGCAGAUGCUUCUGUCCCAGAAGGCUGACGCCAACAAGCCUGGGAAAACGGGAAUGUUGCCGCUCCACAUCGCCGCGCAGAGAGGAAGUGACGCAAUCGUCUCCAUGUUGAUCCCGGUCACCAGCAAGGCCCGGGUCCGGCGGACCGGGAUCAGCCCGCUGCACCUGGCGGCGGAGCGUAACCGUGACGACGUCCUGGAGAUGCUGAUCGAGGCGGGCUUCGACGUCAACGCCCAGCUGUCGGAGGAGCGCACGCGGCUGUACGAGGACCGCCGCAGCACGGCGCUCUACUUCGCCGUCAUCAACAACAACACGGAGGCGGCGCGCAUGCUGCUGGCGGCCGGCGCCGACCCCAACCUGGACAUGUUCCGGCCGCUCAUGGUGGCCUCCAGGAUGGGCUGCAUCCAGAUCGUCAAGCUGCUGGUGGAGCACGGCGCCGACAUCAACGCCGCCGUCCCCACCCACCCCACCACCUUCCCGGCCGUCUACAUGUUCUCCAUGAAGUACCUGCCGCUCUUCAAGUACCUGCUGGACCACGGCGGCCACGCCCUGCCCUGCUUCCACUGCCGCUACGGCGGCCGGCCGCACCCGCCCCUCAAGACCAGCCGCUCCAACUGGAACGAGGACGCCGACCGCCCGGCUGCUGAGGGGCCGCUCACGAGGGGCGUGCAGUUCUGUGAGAUGAUCUCGGCCCCAAGUAUCUGUCGGUGGGCGGGGCCAAUCAUCGACGUCCUGCUGGACUACGUUGGUCAUGUGACCCUCUGCUCCAGACUGAUGGAGCACCUGGACAGUUACUCCGGCUGGAGCGCCAUCAAGGAGAAGGCAGCCCCACCGCGGCCGCUGCUGCAGCUCUGCAGGCUGCGGGUGCUGCAGCUGGUCGGACACAGGAAGCUGAAGCGGCUGCCACUUCCUGGAGGCCUGAUCCGCUUCCUGAAGCACCAGGAGCUUCCUCUGGAUGACGAGAGCUGAAGCAGAGCGCUGACCCGGUUAGCAUCCUGGACCUGCUACAGACGGCGUCUCGCCUGGUCCACGUCCAGCACCGRUCCACUGGCGCCACAGAGGAGGAGGAGGACUCUCACACAGACUCUGAUUGGCUGGAAGGGUCAUCUGGGGGGCAUGUCCACAUGUUGCCAUGGAGACGGCAUACAGGUGUGCUCCUUUCUUCCUGUUGCCGCCUCCUCCUCCUCCUGUUCCCCCCAAAGAGCCAAAAGGUAAGCGGUUCCUCUGAAUUCACCUGUUCUGGUUCUGAUCCGUUUCUGACUGGUACCGGGUCUAUAGAUCAAGAAACCAACUGGACACCAUCAGAGCCUGUGUGACCUUUGACCUCAGUGAUAUUUCUAGUGCAGGUGUGGGAGCUCCUGACUGCUGAAGGCUUUUAUUUUGAUAAUCUGACAAAAUCCCUCAAACUGAUUGCUGAAUCCUGACUCUUCCUCCUCAUCUUCCUCGUCUCUGUGCUGCAGUUCGAGCUCCGAACGCUCCGAACGCUCCGGACGCUCACCUUGAACUCCCGGUGCUCAUCUUCAUCGUGGUCUCGUUGUCAUCGCUGGGGCUCCUGACGCUGAGCCGCCGCGGCGCCUGCAGAACCAGAACCAGAGAGAACGGGCCGAACCAGGGAGGAAGCAACCUGCAGGAACCGACAUCGGCCCGGCUCUAACCGGACCGUCUCCACGGUAAUCAGAGGACCAAUCGGCAUCAUGGAUGUAGAGCCGUACAGGUUCAACCAGAACCAGAACCAGGACUGGAUCUACAAGCAGCUGGGAGCAUUACAUAUAUAAAUAUAAAUACAAACGGAACAAUGAUUUGACCAGAAAAUUAAAUAUU